CCUAAACACCUAAAGGUCCCCUCACACCUAAACACCUAAAGGUCCCCUCACUACUAAAGGCCCCCUCACACCUAAAGGCCCCCUCACACCUAAACACCUAAAGGCCCCCUCACACCUAAACACCUAAAGGUCCCCUCACACCUAAAGGCCCCCUCACACCUAAACACCUAAAGGCCCCCUCACAUCUAAACACCUAAAGGCCCCCUCACACCUUACACCUAAAGGCCCCCUCACACCUAAACACCUAAAGGUCCCCUCACACCUAAAGGCCCCCUCACACCUAAACACCUAAAGGUCCCCUCACACCUAAACACCUAAAGGUCCCCUCACACCUAAAGGCCCCCUCACACCUAACCGAAUUGCCUGAAAUAUGCCUUGCGAUGGCUGGCGAAAGGCAAUUAAAAAAAAUGUUUUCAAUGGAAACUAAUAGUAAAUCAUCUUUACCCUUUGUGUUUGGGUUCAUAUACCCUCAAAACUAAAAGUUGCGAUUAUUCAAAUUUACGCAGAAAUUUCCUGACGAAUUGAAAAAUCACUGGUCAUAUGUUUGAAUUCGCAUAUCUUAUUUAAUCUGUGGUAAUCGUUGGUUUAUCGUUCGAGUGUUAUUGCCGCGCAUAGUCCCUCAUCGCGCUUUUGCCAAAGUGGAACGAUCUCGAAAGAACACUUAACAAAGCAACACAAUGACAAAAUUGCAGUUGCGCAUGGAAACAAAGAUACUAUGACAAACAAAUUUUCGCUUGCAAUCUUCAUGCGAGGGAAAACCAAUACUAACUUCUACUAAAUCUUAAUAGCGAUACAUACAUGAAGACAAGGCUUAGAGAUACUAAGACAAACUAUGGAUA